rnacentral:rRNA from 1 species
UACGGAAGGGGCUAGCGUUGUUCGGCAUUACUGGGCGUAAAGAGCGCGUCGGCGGCUUACCAAGUUGGGGGUGAAAUCCCGGAGCUCAACUCCGGAACUGCCUUCAAAACUGGUAGGCUCGAGUCCGGAAGAGGGGCGUGGAAUUCCCAGUGUAGAGGUGAAAUUCGUAGAUAUUGGGAAGAACACCGGUGGCGAAGGCGGCGCCCUGGUCCGGUACUGACGCUGAGGCGCGAAAGCGUGGGGAGCAAACAGG